GGUCCCGCCUGCCCUGUGACUAUAUGUUUAACGGCCGCUGUAUUUUGACCGUGCGAAGGUAGCGCAAUCACUUGUCUUUUAAGUGGAGACCUGUAUGAAAGGCACCACGAGGGCUUAACUGUCUCCCCUUUAAAGUCAAUGAAAUUGAUCUCCCCGUGCAGAAGCGGGGAUGGCCUCGUAAGACGAGAAGACCCUAUGGAGCUUAAGACACAAAGCGGCCCGCGUCAAACACCUCAACUAAAAGAGCUGAACAAAGUGUGACCCCCGCCGAAAUGUCUUUGGUUGGGGCGACCGCGGGGAAAGAAAAAACCCCCACGUGGACCGGGACCACAUGUCCUAAAACCAAGACCCACAGAUCAAGGCAACAGAACCUCUGACCACUAAUAGAUCCGGCAACGCCGAUCAACGGACCGAGUUACCCUAGGGAUAACAGCGCAAUCCCCUCCCAGAGCCCAUAUCGACGAGGGGGUUUACGACCUCGAUGUUGGAUCAGGACAUCCUAAUGGUGCAGCCGCUAUUAAGGGUUCGUUUGUUCAACGAUUAAAGUCCUACGUGAUC
rnacentral:rRNA from 1 species